GCAGUGGUGGUUCAGUGGUAGAAUUCUCACCUGCCGUGCACAAGACCCAGGUUCGAUUCCUGGCCAAUGCA
rnacentral:tRNA from 1 species